CCAGGGCGAGUGGUUGUGACUCAGCAUGCAAAAUGAGUAGCACCAGGGUUCGAAACACAACUUGGUACCCGAUUUCCGGGAGGGAUUGAAUCUCUCCCGACUCACGAGAAGACUCGUGACUAACUCACGGAUUGAUUCGUGGGGGGGGGCAACGCCUGCCUGAUAUGCACACAGGGGACAAUGUCCAAUGUGCCAGAUCUUGAAUAGAAAAGAUCUGAUGCCGGAUCGGAUAUUUAGAUCCGGCGUGAUCGGGGCCAUUCAGAUAAGCAUGCUGUCUGAUGGCG
rnacentral:lncRNA from 1 species